rnacentral:rRNA from 1 species
AACGAACGCUGGCGGCGUGUUUAAGACAUGCAAGUCGCACGAGAAACCCUUGGAGCUUGCUUUAAAGGUUUCUAGUGGCGCACGGGUGAGUAACACGUGAGUUACAUGCCUCGCAGAGGGGAAUAGCCCGCCGAAAGGCGGAUUAAUACCCCAUGGUCCCGCAAGGGUAAAGGGGGCUUCGGCUCUCGCUGCGAGAUUGGCUCGCGUCCUAUCAGCUUGUUGGUGAGGUAACGGCUCACCAAGGCUUCGACGGGUAGCUGGUCUGAGAGGACGAUCAGUCACACUGGAACUGAGACACGGUCCAGACACCUACGGGUGGCAGCAGUCGAGAAUAAUUCACAAUGGACGAAAGUCUGAUGGUGCAACGCCGCGUGGAGGAUGAAGGUCCUCGGAUUGUAAACUCCUGUCAUCGGGGAGUAAGACCUGGCGGUAAAUAGCCGACAGGGUUGAUAGUACCCGAAGAGGAAGGGACGGCU